ACAAGUUGAUCCAGUUUGCUUCCACAGGGUUGAAGAGGUAAUUGCGGACUGGACAAAUACAACAUGUCCAAAAUAAUUAAUCAUCAUCCACUGGGAAAAGCUGAUUGCUGGACAUGUGGGCAUGAUUGUUUUUCUGAUCGGUCAAAAUCCCAUCAAGUCUGUAAGAGAAAUGAGGCACCUUAUUUUGAGGCGAGCAACAACAUCCAGAGUUCCAUACACCUGCCAAGAAAUGGUGUAUUUACUCACCACUACAACAAUAUGGAGAACGGCAGUCAAACAUAUUCUAUGAAAAUUAUAAAGAAUGGCAGAAUUGUUGCCUGUGAAGACAUCAGCUUUGUUUAUUCAAAUUAAAAGUCAGACAGAACAAGCUUGAAGUAAAUUAUAAGAUUGAAAGUUGUAAUGCAAAUUCAGACUGAUACCGAUAAAAUGUAUCUACUUUGUUUGAUAUCAGUGGUAUAGAUUUAGUUGUAAGCAGAUGUAUAAUUAAAACUCUACAGUUGAAAUACAGAGGUUUUGUGUAAAUUUAUUUCAACCAAUUGUUGAAUAAAAAGAGCUAAAUAAACCUAUGAGAUUUUUGACC